UGAAGUGCGACACGUUUAUGUGUCUAUCCCAUCGUUUAAAAUUAACCCAUCAAUUAACUGCCACACAUCACAAAUAAAUAAAUGCAUCGUUGAUAAUUUACCCCUACAUACAUACGCACAUAAUCACCAAACUAUCCACUAAACAAAUUCAAGAAAAAGAUAUGGAAAACAUCGAGUAGGUUUGGGCGUUGGAUCAAUGGUUGCCAUGCUUUAGUGGUUGGAUGAUUGUUGCGAAGUUUGUUUAUGGUACCGAGUGUGAAAAGAAUAAUAGGAGUUCAUCGAGAUCUUGAUCCAGAAUUUAGUUUGGUUGGAUAUCAGCGAUGAGAUAGUCUGGUAGUAAAUUUGUUUUGUCCGGUAAUACUAUUGCGGUGUGUAUAAGAAUGAUGAUAAGGUUUAAUUUGUGAUUGGUUGUUCGAUGGAUUUGAAAUGGUAUGUGUGAUAUUGUGAUCCUCAUUGUGCAAAUAAACAAAGUUGCGGUUGUGUGUUUUUGAUUUGGUUUGAAUGAAAGAAAUGGAUCUGUGGAGAAGCGGCGUUUGAAGAUCUAAGGUUGUUUAUAUGUGAGAGAUAAGAAGCAGGUUUGUUUAAGCAAUUAAAAAAAAUGUCUUCAGAAUGUAAGAUGGUAGUGGUCUCGAGAAUAGGCAUUUGAAAAGUCAAAAGCCAUUUCAGAAAUUUCAUUGAUGAACAUGAAUGAAUAAAACCUUGACCGCCGCAUAGUAUGCAAGGAAGAAUAUUCUUAAUAUGAUUGUACAACCAUUAAACAUACACGAAAUGUUAAACCUACAAGUGUGGCAAUGUAUGUUGGGUAUUGUACUCCCAUUAUCGUUAAUAAUGAUAAUGUCUU
rnacentral:lncRNA from 1 species